UAUAGCAUAUCAAUAAGCGGAGGAAAAGAAACCAACAGGGAUUGCCUCAGUAACGGCGAGUGAAGCGGCAAUAGCUCAAAUUUGAAAUCUGGCCCUUUCAGGGUCCGAGUUGUAAUUUGCAGAGGGCGCUUUGGAGUUGGCUGCAGCCUAAGUUCCUUGGAACAGGUCAUCAUAGAGGGUGAGAAUCCCGUAUGUGGUUGCAUGCCUUCGCCGUGUAAAGCCCCUUCGAUGAGUCGAGUUGUUUGGGAAUGCAGCUCUAAAUGGGAGGUAAAUUUCUUCUAAAGCUAAAUAUUGGCCAGAGACCGAUAGCGCACAAGUAGAGUGAUCGAAAGAUGAAAAGCACUUUGGAAAGAGAGUCAAAAAGCACGUGAAAUUGUUGAAAGGGAAGCGCUUGCAGCCAGACGUGCCCGCAGUUGCUCAUCCGGGGUUCUCCCCGGUGCACUCUUCUGCGGGCAGGCCAGCAUCAGUUCGGGCGGUUGGAGAAAGACCUGUGUCAUGUAGCUGUUCUCGGGCAGUGUUAUAGGGCAGGUGGAAUGCAACCAGCUCGAACUGAGGUCCGCGCAUCUGCUAGGAUGCUGGCGUAAUGGCUGUAAGCGGCCCGUCUUGAAACACGGACCAAGGAGUCUAACAUCUAUGCGAGUGUUUGGGUGUCAAGCCCGAGCGCGUAAUGAAAGUGAACGGAGGUGGGAACCCCUCGGGGUGCACCAUCGACCGAUCCUGAUGUCUUCGGAUGGAUUUGAGUAAGAGCAUAGCUGUUGGGACCCGAAAGAUGGUGAACUAUGCCUGAAUAGGGUGAAGCCAGAGGAAACUCUGGUGGAGGCUCGCAGCGGUUCUGACGUGCAAAUCGAUCGUCAAAUUUGGGCAUAGGGGCGAAAGACUAAUCGAACUAUCUAGUAGCUGGGUCCUGCGAGU
rnacentral:rRNA from 1 species